rnacentral:tRNA from 1 species
GCCAGGCUGGCUCAGUCAGUAGAGCAGGUGACUCUUAAUCUCUGGGUCAUGAGUUCAAGUCUCAUGUUGCA